GAGGGGUAGAGAGAUGGAGGUAGGGUGGAUAGAUGGAGGGGUAUAGAGAUAGAGCAGUAGAGAGAUAGAGGUAGGGUGGAGAGAGGUAGGGUGGAUAGAUGGAGUGGGGGAGAUGGAGGUAGGGUGGAGAGAUGUUGGUAGGGUGGAGAGAUGGAGUGGGGGAGAUGGAGGUAGGGUGGAGAGAUGUUGGUAGGGUGGAGAGAUGGAGUGGGGGAGAUGGAGGUAGGGUGGAGAGAUGUUGGUAGGGUGGAGAGAUGGAGUGGGGGAGAUGGAGGUAGGGUGGAGAGAUGUUGGUAGGGUGGAGAGAUGGAGUGGGGGAGAUGGAGGUAGGGUGGAGAGAUGGAGUGGGGAGAUGGAGGGGUAGAGAGAUGGAGGGGUGGAGAUGGAGGGGUGGAGAUGGAGGGGUAGAGAGAUGGAGGGGUGGAGAUGGAGGGGUAGAGAGAUGGAGGUAGGGUGGAUAGAUGGAGGGGUAGAGAGAUGGAGG
ensembl:lncRNA